rnacentral:lncRNA from 1 species
CUGAGUUGGCACUGAAACCCCGGCGGCUGCUGCUGUGGCUCCUGAUGGUGGUGGAUGUGCUGGCCAUGGUUCCAGGAGAUGAGAGGGCUUAGGAGAGUGUGAGAGGCUGGAGGAGAGAGGGAAGAGAAGCAGGACUAGGAAUCAGGCUCGGGGCAGCAGCUUAUAUAUGGAGAGCAUGGGCUGGGCCCAGUCCUGGAAGGUGAGCUUGCAGGUUGGGAAGGGCUGGGCUUUACCAACAGUGAGAUCACACCCAGUUUCUAGAAAGGUAUGAAAUAUGAAGAUUGCUUUUUGGCUUCCUUUAGUCAUA